UACGUAGGGUGCGAGCGUUUAAUCGGAAUUACUGGGCGUAAAGCGUGCGCAGGCGGUUUUGUAAGCCAGAUGUGAAAUCCCCGGGCUUAACCUGGGAAUGGCAUUUGGGACUGCAAGGCUUGAGUGCGGCAGAGGAGACUGGAAUUCCUGGUGUAGCAGUGAAAUGCGUAGAUAUCAGGAGGAACACCCGUGGCGAAGGCGGCUCUCUGGGACGGUACUGACGCUGAGACGCGAAAGCGUGGGGGAGCGAACAGG
rnacentral:rRNA from 1 species